GUGUGUGUGUGUAUGUGUGUGUGUGUGUGUGCGUGUGUGUGAUUUUCCCCUAAUUUCUUCACAUUUUAUUUAGUUCCCCACUCUCUCUGCUCUUCAAAUAUAGCAAAGCGUUUCAUGUUUUAUUUAUUUUUCUCACAGAAUGUCUACCCCUGCAUGCCACUUCACGGUUAGGUAGGACUUUGGUUCGAGCUGUUUUGCAAGUCACGGGUCAGUUAUGGUUAGCACGCAAUCCUUCACGUCCCUCAUAUCCCAGUCCUUCCUGCCGACUCUCCUUUUUGUCCUGCUGAAAUACACCCCUUCUUGAUCUACUGCAGUUGGGAGAACAGUGACUUGGUUCCACCUAUAAUUCUCUAUGAAUCUGAAUUUACACCAUGAUGUUCUUAGAUGUGGAUUUAAUUUUGUUUUUGUCUCUGGGCUGUUGACAUAAAUAUUUGAUAUGAGAGCUCUGUUCUUUCAUUACUCCUCAGCCUGGAAAAUUCUUCCCAGCCCUCAUCCGUUAUUUUUCUUACUGUUAUCCUUCUGGUUGGCCGCUCUUUUCUUCUCAUUGAAUUAUUUCUUCUCAUUGAGACACAUGUUGGGUUUUCUUCCAUACUUACAAUUUCCAGACUUUUCUGUAAUUAUUAUCUUUAUUAAUUACCAUAGAUGAAAAUAAUCGUCAUUGUUUUUUAAUUUUGAGUGAUCUUGAAUUUGUGUGUUUAAGUACAAAUAACUUAAUACUCCCCAAGCAACAAUUUGUGUGUGUGUGUGGGGGGGUAUGUUCAGGUAUAUGCAGAUACACAAGCAUAUGUGCACACAGAUGUAGAGGCCAGAGGUUUAUACUGAUGUCUUCCUCAGUCCCUCUCUACCUUAUUUUUAGACACAAGGUCUCUCAUUGGAUCUGGCACACACCAGUUUGGCUUAGACUGGUUGGCCAAUGAAUUCCAAGGAUCCCCUGUCUCUGUCCCCCCUGCCGGUGCUGAAGUUAUAAACAUAUGCUGCCAUACUCUGCUUUUAUAUGGAUGCUAGAGAUCUGAACUCAGGUUCUUAUGCUUGUUGCUUUAGCAAUACAGCCAUCUCCUCAGCCCCUUCUCAGACAACUUGAAAAUAAGCUUCUGAUCUGAUGUUCUGUUAGAGUACACUCAUUUUCAUUCCCUACACAGCAAGGUGUUUACUACAUGAUUGAUAUAAGCACCAGAAUCAGGAAAUUAAUACUGAUCUAUUAUUAUAACCUAAUAUGUCCAUACAAUUCUGUGGUUGUCCCAUUGAUAUCACUUUAUAAAGUUGAUCCUGUUUGGAAUAUUGGUUAUUUGUCAAGCCUCCUUAAUCCUCUUUGGAAUGGGACAUUUGUCCAGUCUUUGCUUAAAAUGAAUAAUCUUGAUGCUUUCGAAGAGCUAUGGACCAGUGAUCUGAAUGCUUCUCAGUCUGGUUUGUCUGGCAUUUCUUCGUGACUGGUUUUAGCUCAUGCAGCUUGAGAAGCAGAUCAAAGAACUGGUGCUGAAUCCGUCAUGGCAAUGUGUCUUACUGAAGGCCGUGCUCACUUGGACAACAUGGCUAAGAUGGUAUCUGCCAACUCUAUUAUUUGAAAAGUUUUUUUUCCCCUUUGUAGUUAAGUACCUUUAUGGGAGCUAUUUGAGACCCUGCAAGCAUCCUAUUUUUCAGGGUCUGGAGGAUAGCUCACCUUGUAGAGUGCUUGCCUAGCAUGCGUAAAACCCCAGCUUCAACCCCCAGGACCACACAAACCAGGUGGCUCAUGCUUGUAUUUCCAGCAGUUGGGAGACAGAGGCAGAACGAUUAGAAGUUUAAGGUCAUCUUGGAUCACAUGACAAACUCUAGGCAAAUGCUGGGCAUCAUGAGACCCAUGUCUCAGAAUGUAACAAAUACUGUUUUCUCACCUGUUUCCCCAAUAGUUUCUGCAAUUAGUGGAAAUUAAUACUCUAGUGUUUACUGACUAGAGUAUUUUUUAAUUUAUUAGUUAGAAUUUGCUGUAAAGGUGGCUUUUUGGUGUGUGUGUGUGUGUGUUUGUAUUCAUGUGUGUGUUGACAGUCCAGAUUGGCCUGAGAUUCAAGAUCCGCCUGCCUGAGCCUCUGGGGUGCAACAGUUACAGGCAUGCACCACUGUGCCGGCUACUGACAUCCUUUCUGAAUGCAUGGAGUGAUUUGUCUUUACAAUGACUUGUUGCUGCACCAUUUUGGUACAUAGCUGACUCCCAAUUAUAAAACUAAAACAAUUAUCAGCAACUGUAUUACGCAUCUACGAUUCUAGCUUUGUAUUUAUCAAAAAUAAAAGAAAUGAGGCAAGG
rnacentral:lncRNA from 1 species